AAAGUUCUGGAAUUGGGGUUUACAAUCUUAGUUUCUAGGGGCGCUCUGGUGACCUGGGUUCCAAUGCCUGACCUAAGCCCACCGGGCCACAACCUUUUGAAAAAUGGAAAGAUUCCUGCGCUUUGGCCUUAGGUCUUGGGGCAGCGAUGACUCACUACAGCACCCCCUUACCCCCCCCCCCGUGCGUCGAACUGCCGUCUCCGCCCACCCCAAACAAGCUCAAGGGCGAGCCGCAGCUCCCGGCGCUUUGCUGGGGGCUGGAAGGGCCCAUCUCCAUGUCUGUAUCCCAGCAGGCUAAAACCUUCCCCCUCCCAGUCUUCAAGGUUGCCUGGCUCCCCACCAGACUCUUCCCACCCUUCCAUAGGACGGUGGAGAUGGAUGCGACUUCUAGACCGGGACGCUGAAUCCACCAACAGCGCACAGAAGGGGCAACCGAGUGCCCCAGCAAAGUCCUGGAGGUUCGUUGAUCCAGCAGUCUUCACCUCUGUUGUGCCUUGACCCUGUGCUUGGUGCUAGAAGCUGAGGAGAGGGAAGGAGCGGGACCCUCCCGGAACUCGUGUCUGGUGUCUGGCUGAGAGCCAGAACAUGCCACCACUUUGUUAUCCUGCCCUCCUCCAUGGAUUUCUAUAUUCCAUUAUUCUUCUCAAAUAAAACUCGGACCUGCUUUUUCCCUUUGAAUGCUGAAGGCUCCGUCUCCAAGUUCCCCUGCUAGAAGGCAUAUUAUGAAACGGGAUGUACCAUCAGAGACGAAGGACAAAGGAUGAAUAUGUUUGAAGAUUCUGAUGGUGAAGAAUAGAGAAGAAAGCAGAUUCUAGCUUUCUGGGAGAAUAGAAAGAAACGUGGAAAAUGCAAGCUCUCCAGGGACAGGUUUUCGUUCUAACAGAGGCUGCUAAUCAGUUUAACUCACCCACCUGUUUAAAUGAUGAGCACGUGACCUGGCUGAGCCAAUCAUCAUGCCACCUCUGGGGGAUUGGCCAGAGAAAUCCAUGUAUGAUCAACUUAAGCCAGAGCACUUGCAUUUUGAACGAAGAUUCUAAUCAAGGAUGCCUCUCAAGCACGUGAGAAUUCUCACAUGGAAGGAAUUCCACCUGGAAGGCCCAUUCUGGAGUGAGGGUGAUAAGGAGUGCAUCUUUCCAGCUUUUCUCAAAUGGUACCCAGCAGUUACCUUGAUAUUAAAUCAGUCUCACCACCAAACCUAAGAGUGGGUGGACCUCAAUGAACAGGGAUUUUGAAGCUGAGAAAAAAUUUUUUAAAAAGGCAGCUGGAUUUGACUUCACUCCACCCAGAUGUCCUUUCUGUGAGCCUCUGAUUAUUCUAUCCUGAAUGUGAAGCAAACCUGUAGAGGUCUUGAGUCACAGCCUAGAAGGCCAAAUUCAUAUGGGACAAUAAAAAUCUGAACCAAAUGCUGGCCCUGCUGGGUCCGUCUGUUAUUGGAAUUAAGUGCCCCUUUUCAUUUUAUUCAAACUGAAGAAACUUUCUGGCAGGGUGUCAGGUUUCAAACAGAAAUGUCAGCCAAGGGCUCAUGAGGCCAAGAUCCUAGCAAACUUGAAUAAAUUUACGCUUUGGGUAAAACUUCAUAUGGAAUUUAGUGGUCUGGUGGGUCCAUUUGUUAAAUGUUCUUCAUUUGCAUGUCCUGGACUAAACCCCUGCAUGGAGCUGUGUAUAAAAUUAGCCUCAGAGACCAAAGUAAUCUCUUCUACCCAAAGUGAGGAUACCUCUGUAGAUGAGUGUGAAGGGCAUACUAGAGUGAUUUUCAUCACCAAGAGCAGAAAAGAAUGUGAACAUGUUCCAAGCUUGAUUCAAAUGUUGAUCUGAUACAGUCAAAAUUAACCCUAUUUAUAAUAAUAACAACAAUAACAUUUAUUGAAUGUUUAAUAUAUGCCAGGUUCUAUGCUAUGCACCUAACAUUUAUUGACCCAUUAAUCCUUCUGAUGAUUCUACCAAGUAGGUUUUAUUAUUUGCUCUAUAGCAUAGAAAAUGAAACAAAGAAAGAGAGGUUCAGAAAAGUGCCCAGCUUUCAAGACAGCAAAGGUCAGGAUUGAAAGCUGGACCGUUUGCCUUCAGAACUUUUGCCCUUCAUGUUGAUCAGGGACUGGUGGGGUAAUGAAUCCAACAGGCAUUAAUAUAAGUAAGAUGCUUAUGGCAGAUUUAAUUGGAAUUUUAUACCCCAUCUGUCAUUUUUUAGAACCCUAUUUUGGUGGCAAACACAGCUGAACCACACAGUAGAACUUGGUUUUCUCUUCAGUUGUUGGUAUAAAAUGAAAGCACUGGGAUCAUUAACUGAAAAAUCCCAUCUUCAAAUGCUUUUGCUUUGUACCGACACACUGAAAUGGAUCAAGAUGCCCCAUGUUCUCUGGGACAUUGAAGAAAUGUUUAAGUCACUUUUUUGCACUCUUAGCAUGGGAUGGAGAUACAACCAGGGACUGUUUAGGACUCCAGUGGCUCUGAAGAUCAGAAUGAAGCACAACAUGGCCAAAAGGAGAUGCUGUGAUGGGAGACUGGCAGGCCUCACCCAUCCGCUAAAUGAUUCACAACUAUACACUUGCUCUUUGCAUCAAGCUUGAAUCAAACCAAACCUAAUCAGCAAAUAUAUGAAAAGAUGCCCAACGCCAGCAAUAUGGAUGGAAAUGUAAAUUAAAUUAUAUUUUUCACACAUCAUUUUGGCAAAAAUUUACAAGUUUGAUAAUAUCAAUCAUAGCAAUGGUGAGCGGAAACAGGUCUGUUCUGCUGAUGAAAGUGUGAAUUGGAAUAGCCAUCCUGUAAAGCAUUUUGGAAGUAUUAAAAAUGUACACCACCUGUGAGCUAGCAAUUCUGUUUUAUACAUAUUUAUAAGAAUAUUCAUUGCAUCAUCAUUCAUGCUAUCAAAAAGUUAAAAAUAGCUGAAAUGUAAUACAUCCAAACCAUGGAAGGUUAUAGAGCUCAUAAAACAAUACAUAUUUACAUACUAACAAUAAAAAAUGCUUAAGACAUACUGUUAAUUUGAAAUAUCCACACAGCAUGGUGUUAUCCAAUGAUAUUACUACACCCCUCCCCCCGACUGAAAGGAAUGGAAAAACACACACCAAAGGGCACCUAGGUGGCUCAGUCUGUAGAACACCCUACUCUUGGUUUCGGCUCAGGUCAUGAUCUCAGUAUUGUGAGAUGAGCCCUGAGUGUGCUGGGGUCUGUGCUCUGAGAGGAACUGCUCAAGACACCUGUCCCUCUGCCCCUCCCCCACGCACAUGCGCCCAAGUGCUCUCUCUAAAAUAAAUAAAUAAAUCUUUAAAAAUAA